AGUGAACGCUGGCGGUAGGCCUAACACAUGCAAGUCGAACGGCAGCACAGUAAGAGCUUGCUCUUACGGGUGGCGAGUGGCGGACGGGUGAGGAAUACAUCGGAAUCUACUUUUUCGUGGGGGAUACGUAGGGAAACUUACGCUAAUACCGCAUACGACCUACGGGUGAAAGCAAGGGAUCUUCGGACCUUUCGCGAUUGAAUGAGCCGAUGUCGGAUUAGCUAGUUGGCGGGGUAAAGGCCCACCAAGGCCACGAUCCGUAGCUGGUCUGAGAGGAUGAUCAGCCACACUGGAACUGAGACACGGUCCAGACUCCUACGGGAGGCAGCAGUGGGGAAUCUUGGGCAAUGGGCGCAAGCCUGAUCCAGCCAUACCGCGUGGGUGAAGAAGGCCUUCGGGUUGUAAAGCCCUUUUGUUGGGAAAGAACAGCAGCAGAUUAAUACCCCGAUGUUCUGACGGUACCCAAAGAAUAAGCACCGGCUAACUUCGUG
rnacentral:rRNA from 1 species